CGCGGCCUAUCAGCUUGUUGGUGAGGUAAUGGCUCACCAAGGCGUCGACGGGUAGCCGGCCUGAGAGGGUGACCGGCCACACUGGGACUGAGACACGGCCCAGACUCCUACGGGAGGCAGCAGUGGGGAAUAUUGCACAAUGGGCGAAAGCCUGAUGCAGCAACGCCGCGUGAGGGAUGACGGCCUUCGGGUUGUAAACCUCUUUCAGUAGGGAAGAAGCCCUUUUUGGGGGUGACGGUACUUGCAGAAGAAGCGCCGGCUAACUACGUGCCAGCAGCCGCGGUAAUACGUAGGGCGCAAGCGUUAUCCGGAAUUAUUGGGCGUAAAGAGCUCGUAGGCGGUUUGUCGCGUCUGCUGUGAAAGACCGGGGCUCAACUCCGGUUCUGCAGUGGGUACGGGCAGACUAGAGUGCAGUAGGGGAGACUGGAAUUCCUGGUGUAGCGGUGAAAUGCGCAGAUAUCAGGAGGAACACCGGUGGCGAAGGCGGAUCUCUGGGCCAUUACUGACGCUGAGGAGCGAAAGCGUGGGGAGCGAACAGGAUUAGAUACCCUGGUAGUCCACGCCGUAAACGUUGGGAACUAGGUGUUGGCGACAUUCCACGUCGUCGGUGCCGCAGCUAACGCAUUAAGCUCCCCGCCUGGGGAGUACGG
rnacentral:rRNA from 1 species